UUGCGCAGUGGGAGGGUGUUUUAACCGGGCCUUCGGUCGUGCGGUCUUUAGUGGGGGAAGCCUCGUCAGGAAUUUUCGUCGAUUUAUCCGAUAAAAGCGAAACAGUUUGGUCGAUACUGCUUUACUGGCUGCGUAUUUCAAGACAAGGAUGCCCUGAGGCAUGGUACAUUGGGGAAACCG